rnacentral:miRNA from 1 species
ACAUGGCGGAGACGGUGGUGCC